rnacentral:misc_RNA from 1 species
UUCCGCCCACACGGAAACCUGAGGA